rnacentral:rRNA from 1 species
GACGAACGCUGGCGGCGUGCUUAACACAUGCAAGUCGAACGCUGAAGCUCAGCUUGCUGGGUGGAUGAGUGGCGAACGGGUGAGUAACACGUGAGUAACCUGCCCUCUUCUUUGGGAUAACGCCCGGAAACGGGUGCUAAUACUGGAUAUUCACUGAUUCUCGCAUGGGGGUUGGUGGAAAGGUUUUUUCUGGUGGGGGAUGGGCUCGCGGCCUAUCAGCUUGUUGGUGGGGUGAUGGCCUACCAAGGCUUUGACGGGUAGCCGGCCUGAGAGGGUGACCGGUCACAUUGGGACUGAGAUACGGCCCAGACUCGUACGGGAGGCAGCAGUGGGGAAUAUUGCACAAUGGGCGAAAGCCUGAUGCAGCGACGCCGCGUGAGGGAUGGAGGCCUUCGGGUUGUAAACCUCUUUCGCUCAUGGUCAAGCCGCAGCUUUGGGUUGUGGUGAGGGUAGUGGGUAAAGAAGCGCCGGCUAACUACGUG